GGGUGGGCCUACGGGAGGCAGCAGUGGGGAAUAUUGCGCAAUGGGGGAAACCCUGACGCAGCGACGCCGCGUGGGUGAUGAAGGCCUUCGGGUUGUAAAGCCCUGUUAGGUGGGAAGAAAUUCCCUAUGGUUAAUAUCCAUAGGGAUUGACGGUACCACCAGAGGAAGCACCGGCUAACUCCGUG
rnacentral:rRNA from 1 species